rnacentral:lncRNA from 1 species
AGCAACAAAUCACAUCAAGCAUGGUAAUAUAAAUACGACUAUCUGCAAUAUUUGACAACAGAAUAAAUUACUAGCAGUUCGGGAACAAGGCAUUGAUGAGUGAGUCUGACGACGAAAGAAACAGAUCAUAAAAGCUAAGAAAGGUGUGGAAGAAGCACUAGCAGCAGUCUUACUCGUAUUAUCGAUGCCACUGUAGUUUCCACCCCACUGAGCCCAGUGAGGCAGGGUCUGUGUAUCGUUAUUUUUCCAAGAUUGCUCGAAACGAAGAAGUUCAUCUACAAACGCAGCAAAUAGAUAAUCAACAAAGACCGUAGCACCAACAUGAAAGGCUUAGUAGUGGUCGGUGACCUCACCUUGCUCGAGAUUGUGCAGGAUCUCCUGGGU